UUCCUUACUAACCUAACCUAACCUAACCCAUUCCUUCCUUCUCGUCAAGCUGUUGGUGGGAGAAGCCCCAGGACUCUCAAGCGUGGGUUGAGUCACAACUGCGGGUGUGCUAGCUCACCUUGAAGUCCGGCGGGGCUCACGUGUUGCAGUGUUGCAGUGUUGCAGAUCUUCACCCAAACAAGGGGAGUAUUGUUUUUUGUGUUGUUUUGUAUAUAUAUAUAUUUUUGUGGGGGGGAGGGGGUCUGGGGAUAGCCAUCUGCGGUGUGCGUCUGUGCGUGCGUCUGUGUGUGCGUCUGUGUGUGUGUCUGUGUGUGCGUCUGUGCGUGUGCGUCUGUGUGCGUGCAUCUGUGUGUAUGUCUUUUUUUUGGUUGUGUGUGUGAAUAUUUUUUUUGGUAUAAAUAUAUAGGUGGUAGGCCAUAAUGUUAGGAUAUUUGACACAGAUUAAUAUAGAAGAUGGUUUAGGUUAGUUAAGGGUUAAGUGAGGCAUAGAGAGAGAGAGAGAGAGGGGGGAAGAGCGAUAUUAAUAGAAUUAGGUUAGAUUUUUUAGGGUUUUAAGUAAGUAGGUGGCAGGUCAGAAUGAUAUAAUAUUUGACACAGAUUAAUAUAGAAGAUGGUUUUAAGUUAGUAUAUAUGAAAGGGUUAAGUUAGGCAUAGAGAGAGAGAGAAAGGGUUAUUAAUAGGAUGACAGGAGUAUAUAUGAAAGGGUUAAGUGAGGCAUAGAGAGAGAGAAAGGGUUAUUAAUAGGAUGACAGGAGUAUAUAUGAAAGGGUUAAGUGAGGCAUAGAAAGGGUUAUUAAUAGGAUUAGGUUGACGGGGUGUAUGAAUGUUUAACUCAGAUUAUAUUGAAAGUUUACUUCUUUAUAAUCUGGGUUUGUAUGGCAUGUUGAAUAUUAGUAUGUUAUUUUUGUAGUGGUGGUAGUGGUGGUGGGAUGUAUGA